GGGCCCGAAGUUUACCUGGCUGAACGCCUCGUUUGCAACGAGGAGGCAAGGGGUUCGAUUCCCCUCGGGUCCACCC
rnacentral:tRNA from 1 species